GACGUAGGGGGCAAGCGUUGUCCGGAAUCAUUGGGCGUAAAGCGCGUGUAGGCGGCUUGGUAAGUCCGCUCUGAAAGCCCGGGGCUCAACCCCGGGAGGCGGGUGGAUACUGUCAAGCUCGAGUCCGGAAGAGGCGAGUGGAAUUCCUGGUGUAGCGGUGAAAUGCGCAGAUAUCAGGAGGAACACCAAUGGCGAAGGCAGCUCGCUGGGACGUUACUGACGCUGAGACGCGAAAGCGUGGGGAGCAAACAGG
rnacentral:rRNA from 1 species